GAUGAACGCUGGCGGCGUGCCUAAUACAUGCAAGUCGAGCGAACGGACGAGAAGCUUGCUUCUCUGACGUUAGCGGCGGACGGGUGAGUAACACGUGGAUAACCUACCUAUAAGACUGGGAUAACUUCGGGAAACCGGAGCUAAUACCGGAUAAUAUUUUGAACCGCAUGGUUCAAUAGUGAAAGACGGUCUUGCUGUCACUUAUAGAUGGAUCCGCGCUGCAUUAGCUAGUUGGUAAGGUAACGGCUUACCAAGGCAACGAUGCGUAGCCGACCUGAGAGGGUGAUCGGCCACACUGGAACUGAGACACGGUCCAGACUCCUACGGGAGGCAGCAGUAGGGAAUCUUCCGCAAUGGGCGAAAGCCUGACGGAGCAACGCCGCGUGAGUGAUGAAGGUCUUCGGAUCGUAAAACUCUGUUAUUAGGGAAGAACAGAUGUGUAAGUAACUGUGCACGUCUUGACGGUACCUAAUCAGAAAGCCACGGCUAACUACGUG
rnacentral:rRNA from 1 species